AGAUGGCGACCGGCGCACGGGUGAGUGACACGUAUCCAACCUGCCGAUAACUCGGGGAUAGCCUUUCGAAAGAAAGAUUAAUACCCGAUGGUAUAAUCAGACCGCAUGGUUUGAUUAUUAAAGAAUUUCGGUUAUCGAUGGGGACGCGUUCCAUUAGGCAGUUGGUGAGGUAACGGCUCACCAAACCUUCGAUGGAUAGGGGUUCUGAGAGGAAGGUCCCCCACAUUGGAACUGAGACACGGCCCAA
rnacentral:rRNA from 1 species